rnacentral:misc_RNA from 1 species
UUUUAUUUGAGCUUCAUAAUUGCCGCAAUUAGGCGUUAGUUUCUCCAUUAUCACACAAACCGUCAAUGGCGGGUGACAACGGAAACAAGCAGAAUGGAACUUCUUUUGAUCUCAAUGACUUCACCAUCAUCAAAGAAGGAGAUGCUGAGAUUCUUAUGCAUGCCAAAAAUGAAGUUUUCUACAACAAUUCCCAGGUGAAUAAUAGAGACAUGUCUAUAGCUGUUUUGAGGACAUUUAUAUCACAACGAAAGCUAGAACAUGACGCAAUGUUAGCUAGACGAACCAAGGCUGGAAA